UACGUAGGGGGCAAGCGUUGUCCGGAAUCAUUGGGCGUAAAGAGCGUGUAGGCGGCCCGAUAAGUCCGCUGUGAAAGUCCAGGGCUCAACCCUGGAAAGCCGGCCGAUACUGUCGGACUAGAGUCCGGAAGAGGCAAGUGGAAUUCCCGGUGUAGCGGUGAAAUGCGCAGAUAUCGGGAGGAACACCAAUGGCGAAGGCAGCUUGCUGGGACGGUACUGACGCUGAGGCGCGAAAGCGUGGGGAGCAAACAGG
rnacentral:rRNA from 1 species